rnacentral:rRNA from 1 species
GAGUAUGCUAAACGAAUCCUCAAGCUCGAUCCCGUCUGAUCUUGGAAGCUAAGCAGGGCUAGGCCUGGUUAGUACUUGGAUGGGAGACCACCAAGGAACACCAGGUGCUGUAGGCA